rnacentral:lncRNA from 1 species
GAAUACGUAUUUAUUAAUGUGUACAGUACAUUUGCCAGUACAGUUAUUAUUCAUGUGUACGACAUAUUAACCAAUAUCGUACUGUUACAUCAUCAAGGAACUCCAGGUCCUUAUUUACAUGUCAAUGAUCAAGGAUCUUUUAAGUUCGAUCACUUGUUUACAAAUAUAGUACCGGAGAGACUGCCAACUCUCAUAUCAAUAUCAUUAUCAAGGAUCUUCAAGUCCUGAUGUAGUUGUAUGAUGAGGAUCAAGGAACUUCUAGUUCUGAUCUGUAUACAGUAAGAACUCAUCAUACCGCACAAUUAAUCCGUAAAAUAAAUUGCAUGUAAAUAAAUUGUUGGUAAAUAAAUUGCUAGUAUGGACGAUAAACCCGCACCAUACUUUAAAUAAUAAAGUAAAUUGCUUGUUGUAUGAGGGUUAAUUCCAUACCAUACAAUAAUAAAGUAAAUGUGCUUGUAUGAGCACUAAUUAUGCUCCAUACUUUUAAAUAAAAGUAUAGAUAGUUGUGUGGAAGAUAAACCUGCGCCACACUUUUAAGUAAAUACUGUCCUGUGGGUAAUAAACCUACACCAUAUAUCAAAUAAAUUGUAUGGGUAAUGAACCUACACCACACAGUAAAUAAAAUAAAUGUGGGGAUAAAACCACCACUAAAAAUAUAGGAGGUGAAACCAUCCAUUUUUAUUAAAGUAAAUGUAUUAAAGUAAAUGUGGGGGAUAAAACCACCACUGAAUAAGAUAAGAAAAGUGUUAGUAUUACUAACGGCCUCCCACUAAUAAUAUGUUUAGUAUUAUCAAGGGUCCAUUUUUAUUAAUGGUUAGUAAUAGAAAAGCAAAUAAAUAUAGUAUAUUAUAUUAUCAUUUUUAACAUAAUAUGUUAUAUCAAGACCAAAAUAGUUAAAGAUGCUUUAAUAUAAUAUAUGAAGCAACCAUAUAUAUAUAUAUAUAAAAAAAAAAGAAUCAUGGCUGACAAUUAUAUUGAAGUGAUUAUUGUGCAUGUGUGCAUGUCUUCAACUUUGUUGCUUUCACACCUGCCAUUAGCACUCAAAUUGUUUGUACAGUCAGCAUAUAUAGAAAAUGGCAUUGAAUAAUGUAAAGUAUUAAUAAAAGAAGAAGAUGAAAAAACAGUGAGCUUAUCAUGUUUUGGUUUGGUGGGUUUGAUCUGGCCAAGUUUUCAAAUCGCAAGCAAACUCAAGGGUCCUCUAUUCAACACCAAAGCCUUAGUUGCCGUUGUUGUGGAACCAGAAGUGGAGCCCAAUGUCCCUUAACCCGCCGACUCAGUUCCGAUGAAGAAUGAGAACUUUGCUGGGGCUAAUGGGUCAGCUGCUGGUUUAUGGCAAUCCUUGGAGAGAACAUCCUGGAUCAAGACAAGAGGGUUCUCUAGCCAAAAGACAAAGAGAAGCUAGCGAGGGGGUGAGCAUCCUCAUCACAGAGACGUGAAACAUGGGAAAGUGUUGCCUUAGGAGUUGGCUUAAAAGAGGCCUAGCAUAAGGGAAGAACCCAAGCGUAGGCCUUCACGCACAGCUAGCAGCUCAAUAUGGUCAGCAUGAGAUACAUAUGUGGGUUUCAUCAGAGAUUUCAGCUGGUAUUUUGAAAGAGAAUUCGUGCUAAUAAUGUGUUAUAAAACUAAAAAGAUUGUGAAAAGAAUAUAGAGAAAUUAUUGAAUACGAUGUUUUCAUUGAGUCU